GACGAACGCUGGCGGCGUGCUUAACACAUGCAAGUCGAACGGAAAGGCCCUGCUUUUGUGGGGUGCUCGAGUGGCGAACGGGUGAGUAACACGUGAGUAACCUGCCCUUGACUUUGGGAUAACUUCAGGAAACUGGGGCUAAUACCGGAUAGGAGCUCCUGCUGCAUGGUGGGGGUUGGAAAGUUUCGGCGGUUGGGGAUGGACUCGCGGGUUAUCAGCUUGUUGGUGGGGUAGUGGCUUACCAAGGCUUUGACGGGUAGUCGGCCUGGGAGGGUGACCGGGGACAAUGGGACUGAGAUAGGGCGCAGACGCCUACGGGAGGCAGCAGUGGGGAAUAUUGCGCAAUGGGCGGGAGCCUGAUGCGGCAGCGCCGCGUGCGGGAUGACGUCCUUCGGGUUGUAAACCGCUUUCGCCUGUGACGAAGCGUGAGUGACGGUAAUGGGUAAAGAAGCACCGGCUAACUACGUG
rnacentral:rRNA from 1 species